UGGGGAAUAUUGGACAAUGGGCGAAAGCCUGAUCCAGCCAUGCCGCGUGAGUGACGAAGGCCUUAGGGUUGUAAAACUCUUUCGUCGGGGACGAUAAUGACGGUACCCGAAGAAGAAGCUCCGGCUAACUUCGUGCCAGCAGCCGCGGUAAUACGAAGGGAGCUAGCGUUGUUCGGAAUCACUGGGCGUAAAGCGCACGUAGGCGGAUAGUUAAGUCAGGGGUGAAAUCCUGGGGCUCAACCCCAGAACUGCCUUUGAUACUGGCUGUCUCGAGGUCGAGAGAGGUUGGUGGAAUUCCUAGUGUAGAGGUGAAAUUCGUAGAUAUUAGGAAGAACACCAGUGGCGAAGGCGGCUCACUGGUCCGGUUCUGACGCUGAGGUGCGAAAGCCAGGGGAGCAAACGGGAUUAGAUACCCCCGUAGUCCCUGAGCGGGCUGGCAAGGCGCAU
rnacentral:rRNA from 1 species